rnacentral:lncRNA from 1 species
AUGAUCCAGAUGUUGAUUCAGCUUUUGAAAUUGCUUCCUAUCUUGGCAUACACCACAAUACAGAAAGAAGAGAUCUCACUGAUGAUAACUGUGGCUUUAAAGUUGGAGAUUUUCUUCCUUUGUGCAGCUGAGAAGUUUUGUCUUUGUGCCAGAAAACAAUACAUGCUCAAGCUUCUUGCAGUAUUGCACUUGUUCAUCGUAGCUGUCAGAAUGUGUGUAGCCAUUUUAGAACUGUUGAUAACCCCUGAAGAAAACAUCUUGCACCAUUAAGACUGUGUAGCAUCUACUUACUGCUUAAGAAGGUAUGUAGUGAAAAAUCUUUCUCUCUGAUGCAUUUUGGCCUCUAUGAAAAGGGUUAUGAAGCAACAUAGGUUAAGGAACCGGUGAAUGUGAUUUGUUGUGCAAUGUGUACAUUUCUAUUAAUAAUCUAUCUAUUCUUCUAAUUUGGUAUAAUGAAUAAGGAAUAUAUGGUUACUGUGUUUGUUGUUUAUCUUUUGUACAUGAAGGUGUCUGCCCUUGCAUAAAGUGACAUAGGAGUAUCAUUGGUCAAGGCAAUGGCUUUCAGUGUUUCUGCUUUGAAAGAAAAG